AGUGAACGCUGGCGAUAGGCCUAACACAUGCAAGUCGAACGGCAGCACAGUAAGAGCUUGCUCUUACGGGUGGCGAGUGGCGGAAGGGUGAGGAAUACAUCGGACUCUACUUUUUGGUGGGGGAUAAGGUAGGGGAACUUACGCUAAUACCGCAUACGCUGUACGGGUGAAAGCAGGGGAUAUUCGGAGCUUGUGCGAUUGAAUGAGCCGAUGUCGGGUUAGCUAGUUGGGGGGGUAAAGGCCCACCAAGGCGACGAUCCGUAGCUGGUCUGAGAGAAUGAUCAGCCACACUGGAACGGGGACACCGUCCAUACUCCUACGGGAGGCAGCAGUGGGGAAGAUUGGACAAUGGGCGCAAGCCUGAUCCAGCCAUACCGCGUGGGUGAAGAAAGCCUUCGGGUUGUAAAGCCCUUUUGUUGGGAAAGAAAAGCAGCAGGUUAAUACCCCGCUGUUCUGACGGUACCCAAAGAAUAAGCACCGGCUAACUUCGUG
rnacentral:rRNA from 1 species